AUGCAGGAUCCAGGAGGCGGAACCUGCGAGCAACACAGGUCAGCCUGUUCAACCAAGCUUUUCCCUACACGAGAUCAAAAUCCCCCGCUGUCACAGGUGUGUGCUGCUCACUCUGUUCAGUGUGACAGUCCAACAAGCCAACUGAUUCAUAAUGAGGUGGGCCCAUCUGGGGCUCUAGUUUACUGUUUUGUAAGUGAAAUCAAAACCAAGGAAACUAAGAAGAAUGAAAAGAAUGAGAGGCUACAUUCUGACAGAACAGGCUAAAGAAGCUACACAGAAAAUAUGGAGGAGUAAAUAUAUUUAUGCAAGCAUGAUGCCUCCAAGAAGCCCAGUAACUCACACGCUGCACAUGAAUGAAAGUUACAAGUGACCCCCAAAGGUACAAAGUCCUUUUUCACUUUCUAAAAGAGUUAAAUUUCAAUGAGUUAAAUUUCUUUUCCUACUGCUGACUAAGUCAACCCAGUAUCCAACUGCCUUGGGCACUACAGUCUGU
rnacentral:lncRNA from 1 species